AACAGCUAAAGGACUAGAUCUUGUUUACUCACUUGUGCACUCCUUGCUGGAGUGAGUAAUCCCACUUCAACUGCUCUUGUGGGUCUGGUAAGAUUUGCCAGAUCCAGUCCUACCAAAUAGUUAAGGAACUUGGAGAUAAACUGCUCAGUGGUUCUUCAUUUUGGCUAUGUUUUAAAAAAACAUGUUCAUACAUUCUCCUUAAUUUGUAUGUUAUGCUGCUUUCUCCCCCACCCUUCCAAAAUGCAGCACCAGGGACGUUGCUAAGCAACAUUCUUGAUAAGGUCUCAGCAUCCAUCAGUGAAAUGCUACAUUCUUUCACUCUCUGCUCCAUCUUAGAACUGAGGAGGGUGUCACUCAAAGAACAUCAGUAAAUGCUGGCUUCUGAGCCAUUCUUGCCACCUUUUGGCUUAGAUCAAAGCUCUCCUCAACUCAACCCAGCCCUCCUCCUAUUCCUCAUCAGUUCUGUGAAGAUGGGCCACCUCCUGAGAAAGAAGUUUUCACUGAGCAAAGGAGGAGACCUAACCAGUUUGUAGUGCAGCUCUUCACAGUGGAAUCUGCUUAUGGAUAAAGAAAAUAUUUGAGAUAAGUGGAGUUUACCUUCAUAAUACAUGGAACGAAAGUCCACUGAAAUAAACUGAAGCAAUUUGUGACUUUCA
rnacentral:lncRNA from 1 species